UCUCCUGGAAAAGGGUGGUAAUGCCGGAUGCUCCAGUUGAUCGCAUGGUCUUCUGGGAAAGCUUUCGCGGUAUGGGAUGGGGUCGCGUCCUAUCAGCUUGACGGCGGGGUAACGGCCCACCGUGGCUUCGACGGGUAGCCGGCCUGAGAGGGCGACCGGCCACAUUGGGACUGAGAUACGGCCCAGACUCCUACGGGAGGCAGCAGUGGGGAAUAUUGCACAAUGGGCGCAAGCCUGAUGCAGCGACGCCGCGUGAGGGAUGGAGGCCUUCGGGUUGUAAACCUCUUUUAUCGGGGAGCAAGCGAGAGUGAGUUUACCCGUUGAAUAAGCACCGGCUAACUACGUGCCAGCAGCCGCGGUAAUACGUAGGGUGCAAGCGUUAUCCGGAAUUAUUGGGCGUAAAGGGCUCGUAGGCGGUUCGUCGCGUCCGGUGUGAAAGUCCAUCGCUUAACGGUGGAUCCGCGCCGGGUACGGGCGGGCUUGAGUGCGGUAGGGGAGACUGGAAUUCCCGGUGUAACGGUGGAAUGUGUAGAUAUCGGAAAGAACACCA
rnacentral:rRNA from 3 species